ensembl:lncRNA
CACCAGCUCGCCUUCUUCUCAUACUGUAGUGCAUCCUGGUGCCAUCUCUUUCCCAAGGUAAGUGAUGCACAUGCACACUUGAAAACAUGAAAACAAGAUCCAUCAGACCAGGCCACCUUCUUCCAUUGCUCCAUGGUCCAGUUCUGAUGCUCACAUGUCCAAUGUCGGUGCUUUUGGCAGUGGACAGAGGUCAGCAUGCACACUCUGACUGAUCUGCGCCUACACAGCCCUAUACGCAGCAAGCUAUGAUGCACUGUGUGUUCUGACACCUUUCUAUCAGAGCCAGCAUUAGCAUUUUCAGCAGUUUGUGCUGUAGCUGUUCUGUGGGAUCGGACCAGACGGGCUAGCCUUCGCUCCCUACACGCAUCAGUGAGCCUUGGGCGCCCACGACCCUGUCGCCGGUUCACCAGUUGUCCUUCCUUGAACCACUUUUGGUAGGUAAUAACCACUGCAUACCGGGAACGCCCCACAAGACCUGCUGUUUUAGAGAUUCUCUGACCCAGACGUCUAACCAUCACAAUUUUUCUCAUGUCAAACUCAGUCAGAUCCGUAUGCUUGGCCAUUUUCCUGCAUCCAACACGUCAACUUCAUGAACUGACUGUCCUCUUGCUGCAUAAUAUAUCCCACCCCUUGACAGUUGCCAUCGAGAUAUAAACCAAUGUUAUUCACGUCACGUGUCAGUGGUUUUAAUGUUAUGGCUGAUCUGUGUCGUUUUUCCAUUUUCGUACGGACGGAGAUAUUCUCAAAAGCGCUAGAAAGUAUUUAUAUAAAAUCUGAGUCUUCACAGCAACAAGCUCUCCAUAGGUGCAACGUGCUUAUUUAAGCUCCAUAAAGUUAUUACUCUUCUUCAAAAGCAUAUAUUAAGACAUUAACGAGGCCAAAUUGCAUGCAUGUCACCAGAAGAUCAAACUAGCUCACUGUAAGCCAUGGGCCAAAGGUUCCUGGAUUGCCACUUGAUGAGGGUUAAAUAGCGAUUGUGAGUGUUCAUUCAUCACAUCAGUACAAGACUCACCCACUUUGUAUCAAUGCACUGUUGAGUAGUUUAUUCAUAGAUAUUUGACACAUUUAUAACCAAAUCAUUUGGGCACUUGAAGAAAACAUCCACUCAUUUAUGAAGAAUCUUCAUCUUUUGAACGUACUGAGGAAGUAUUCACAAUAAAAUAUUCUGUAUAGAUAAUAAAUGCGGUUUGAUGUUUUGAUGUUUCACACUAUGCUGGUGUUCAAAUUAUGCUGAAGCUCCCAUUAGGGGCACAAAAGGAAGAAUCGAGACCAGAAAGUUAUUGUUCCACAAAAGUUCCUCAUAAUUUUAUUGCAAGCUUGUUAAAAUGAAAUGUAAAGUAAGGGUAAAAGGUAAGAGGCUUGAUAUGGACUAGCAAAUCUCAUUUAUAUUUAAGGAAAUGUCUUUGGACUUUAAUGAUUAGUCACAACGGGUGGCGUGAAAAACACAAUCCAGUAUCAAAAUGAAUGGCUCAUAAAAUGUCCUGAAGCCCAUUGAGGUCUUUGGUUCAUACUAACUUACUCAUAGCUUUUAUAAGCAGCAUCCCGAGGGCAACCUUAAAGAAAGUUCUGGGUCACAUUAUACCGUAAAAUUCACUUAUCUUGGACAGUCAUUAUGCACAAUCCAAACAGGCUUAAAAAAAUUAAGGGAAGUAAGAAUUAGUAGGUCAUUAGCGUUAGGAACUGGAAGGACUAGAGAAAUCAACAAUGAAAUGAGAAUUUAAGUAUACAGUAAUGGGAAAGAGUGCUAUCAAGAAUACGAAGAUAUACGAGCUGAUAUUAAUCAGAGUAUGGGAUCAAGGUGGAGCGGUAGCACGGAAACGCGACAAACAGGAAGUAAACGAGGAAGUGGACGACUUACAGAAAAGCGUAAACAGACCGAGGCUGCAUUCACUCUUGGGUUGUUGUUUUUUUUUUUUUUUUAACAGUAAAAGUGCUGGCCGGAUAUGAAAAAAAAUCAGCUCACCGUAGUAACGCUCUUACAAACCCGAGCUAGUAUCGGCUAACUAACCGUCGUAGCUUGCUCUCUAGAUUAAAUGUAUUAUUAUCAGUAAUGUUUGCGAAAUAAAAACUCUAUUAACGAGGAGGUUGUGUGUCUUUGCCGUAGCUUUGGAGGCAGAAAUGAAUGACUUAUUAUCACAUCUGUAGUUACAUCGGAAAAUAUUUUUCAUUCAGCAUGCCAUUCAAAAGAAAAAUCUUCUCACAUUCGCUCACUAACAAGACUCGUUUUUUCGCUGGCACUCUGUCCUCCGUGUUGGUUUUUCUGGCUUGACGACCCUCUUGCCAAAGUACUUGAUGUCACCCUGCGCUUUUCUGAAAGAAAAAAAAAACAAACAUCAGUGGCAGCACUGCCAAGUGUGAACGCAGCCUAACGGGACGACAACGAGGCUCGGGAGGAAUACAUGGUAUCGGUAAUCAGAGGGUGUGGUCAGGGUGGAGUUUAGGUGGGGUGGAGGUGGAGCUGGCGAAGUAGAUGGGAGGGAAGCGUCUCCGACCGCAACUUAUGCACUCACUAUGCACUUAUAUUCUUACACUAUACAAUGUGUACUCGACUAGUACCUUUGACAGUAUCUCAUAUCGAACACUUAAGAUUUAGAAAGAACAGAUCGUUGUGUGGUAUCUCAUAUCAUCAAGACACCAGAACAGCCUUCACAGGAAGAAACUAAUUUUACACUGUAGCGUAAGCCAUUUUCCAAUACAAUACCUGCAGUGCUCUCCGGUAGCCCCGCCCCUUCUAGUGAAUUCCCCCCCACGCUAAAAUCCAGACGUUGCUGACGAAGUAGGAUUUACUUCCAAAAACAUGACAGAUAAAAGCAAAAUACAGUACGAAACGAUCUACCAUUAGACACUGUGUAUUUUAAAACGUUAAAGUCGAGCGCGAUCACUUUCUUUGAGAAACGUACAUUUUCUUUAGAAAGUCUGUGAUCCGUGGUGUGUGUGUGUGUGUGUGUGUGUGUGUGUGUGUGUGUGUGUAAUGCAGGUUUAAGAGGCCUAGUCAGAUUUCAUUAAUCCUUUUAUUCACAGAAACAAUCCACAGCUACGCUACAGAAGCUCUGCUUUGGUUUUACAUAUGUAAAUGUUGUAUAUAAGCUUUUUUUUUUUUUUAAUUUUUUUUUUUUUUUUAAGCUCUCGUUAUAAUGGACCGUACUGUAAAGAGUACCGUCUUUUAUUUCCCGACCUUUUAGUUAAUCGUCCGAGCUUUUGUCGAUAUCUUCAAAACACCAAGUCGAAAGCCAUGUAAGUGUGGUGUCGACGAGUAAAAAUCAUUUCAAACCCGUUUUUAAAAACACGCCGGAAAAAAAAAACGAUCAUCGCAGUCGCUAUAAAUUCAAACCGAAACCGUUUCGUGUUCGUCAGGAGAGUUAGUCUCGUUCAAAUGUCUUAUUAUCUACUUAAAUGCAUCUCAGAUAUACACGAGACCAAAAGUCCAAGUGCACUACGGUUUAUUUCAUCACUUAUCAACGGUAAAAUACUUUUUUUUUUUUUUCCUCAGCUGAUCUUACUAUCCGAGUGUGCGUACUGUAAUUUAGCACCGAGGCGGAUGCAGCGUUCAUCCGUGUGUGUGAUCUUCGUAUAAAAUUUUUAAAUCUAUAAUAUCUCGUGUGCAUACAGUGCACAACACCACAGAGUUGGCCGUCAUGCCUUACGAUCUGACAACUAGCAGGUGUAUAACAGGACUAUAAUGGGAAUAAUAAGAGUACUCAGUUGGCGUGGUCAGGGCGGAGCUAGGGUAUCCCUUCCUCACGUAACGAUUCGUUCCUUAGAGGAUUUGAGGAGGAUAUUUGAAGAAAUCUUUGCUAAAGGAGACUUGUCUUAAGCACCACUGCCUGUCACUAUGCUACACACACAACACAAUGUGAAUUAACUGCAGUGAAAACAUACCGGCCCAUGUACAGCAUAUUUAAAUGUUAAUGUUCUGGCCUGUACAAGAUUCUACUCUAUUAUGCAUAUUUUAACGGACUUUGAUCCCAGGUGCUUAAAGCCGCGGUUGGCGAUAGGAUUUAGGUUUGGGUUUCGCAUCGGGUUAGAACAGGUUCUCAAAAGGUUCUAUUUUGCAACGCUUUGUAAAUAAAAGUUCAUUUAUGAACAACUGUUUGUUUGAAUAUUUAAACCAGGGGUCUUCGGUCGUAACUGCAAAGGGCCGGUGGGGCUGCAGGAUUUCAUUAGAGCCAAACUGGAGGCAGGAUUGAUGGGUGAUUGACGGUGAACUGAUUGAAAAAGUGAAAUCAGGUGUGGCUCAUGCUGCAAUUUGGGGUUAUGGUUCAUGUUAAAGGUUUGGGGUUAAAGCUAGGGUUAAAGAUAAGGUUAGUUCUAACGUUAAAUCUUUGGGGUUAGAGCUAGUAUUAAAUGAUUAGGGUUAGGGCUAGGGUUAAAGUUUUGGGGUUAGAGCUAGGGUUAAACGGUUGUGGUUAUGGCUAGGGUUGAAGGUUUGGGGAUAGGGUUGGGGUUAGGGCUAAGGUUAAAGGUUUGGGCUAGGGUUAGAUGUUUGAGGUUAUGGCUAGGGUUAAAGAUUUGGGUUUAGGGUUAGGGCUAGGGUUGAAGGUUUGGGGAUAGUGUUAGAUGUAUGCGGUUAUGGCUAGGGUUAAAGAUUUGGGUUUAGGGCUAGGGCUAGGGUUGAAGGUUUGGGGUUAGAGCUGGGGUUAAAGGAUUGGGUUAGUCGUAGGGUUACAGGGUUGAGGGUAGGGCUAGGAGUAAAGGUUUAGAAUGAGGGCUAGAGUUGAAGGGUUGACUUAAAGCUUUCGACUUAGGGCUAGGGGUAAGAGUUUGUCGUUGGGGCUAGGGUUAAAUAUCUGGGGUUAGGGUUAAAGGGUUGAGGGUCGGGCAAAGGUUGAAGUUUUAGGUCUAGGGCUGAAAACUUGCACCAGCAGUAAAGCUUACAGAAACAGACUUGAGCAUGCUCAGUUUUCUCCUUAUUCUCCGAAUACAAUCUAUCUUUGUUUAUCUGAAGCAGGACGCCAUCCUUACAAAUGAAAACGAGUGUUUGCUUUGUGCGUGACGCUUAUUGCUUUUUAAUAUGGAGAACGUGCAUUAAAAAUACAUGCCAUUUUUCCUACACGCCGAAUAACAGCAGCGCAGGUCUCGUACCCCGGCACAACGAAGCCAAUAACGCAAACAAACUGAGCAUCGAGACGGAUUUAAUUACCGCGAAUGUGAAGAUGAAAGCAUGGCGCUGAAUAAAUAAACGCAACGUUUCCGAUAGGAAGAAAGAAUGCAGUAUAUACAGCAGACGGGCGGAAAGAUUAAUGACGGUUCUAAUACGCCGCGUAUCCCCCAAAACAAUAUAACCAGAGAAAAAACACACACGAUAAGAGUGUAUAUGAGAAAUAUCACCUUAAACAGUUUUUGCUCGUGCGUUAAGACUUUUGGACGCUACAGGAAGUGAAACGAUGAUUUCAGGUCUCUUUACUUUGUUACUACGUUUGUUAAUGUAUUAUUCGGAACUGAAAUUGUGUCUCUUUUUUUGUUUGUUUGUUUUUUUUUGUUCGUACACUCGUUCUGUCUGGAUUUUGUUUCAAUCAGGUUUCAGAGGUUCCCAUGUGCUUUUUAGGGAGGCGUGUAUUUAGACGUGUUUUAAACUAAAAACAGUGGAAGAUCAUCAGACGGGAGAGGUUUUCCUCCUUGUCUGCGUGUAUAUAUGUGUAUUAACUGCUUGAAGCUGAACAAAUUAGGCAACAUUGGAUUUUUUUCUUUUGCAUGUGUCUUUUUCUAAUGGACGAGACGAUUACGUAUCAAAUAUACUGAAGAAACGAAGCGACCCGCAUGAACGUGGUCGUUCUUUUCUUUUCUUUUUUUUUUUUUGUUUGUUUUUUUCUUUCUUUUUGUUUCUUUUUUUUCUUCUUCUUCUUCUUUUUGUUGGUUUCUUUUUUUGGUCCAGACAGUGUUCUGGAGUGUAUUAUACUCACAAUACUGAAGGAGACAAAGUAUAUAUAUAAAUAUAUAUAUAUGAAAUAA